CAAAGGACUGUUUGUAAAUCAGAAGCACCCAUGAUUUCAACAGAGCGUCUGAUUCAAAGCAGUACAAAUAUACAAACAGUUUCAACAGUCACACCAGUUACCUUAGCAACAGCACCAUGUGGCACAGUUACUAGGCCAAACACACAACAAAAACACAAGGAGAAUUCUCAUACACACACAGCGCUAACACGUUGUCUUCACACAUGAAAAUUCACCAAACACUAGAUUCUCAUCUCUGUAACUAUAAAUCAAACCCUGCAACCAUCCAUGCAGUAAAUCAGCUCUCAAUUACCAGACUAUAACAUACUCCAGUAACAUCGUCUUUACAAUCAGUAGUUAUAGUACGGUUAGCAAGUGGUUAUGGUACAGUUUUAGAAUCACAGGUCGUUUAGUAACAGUUAUGGUGUUACACAUAUAACAUCAAACAACAGAUUGUUAGUCGUUAUAUACAAUACACAAUGUCUGUAAUUAUAAUACAUGUUAGUGGUUAUGGUACCGUGUACUAUUAUACAGUUAUACACCCAAUUUACACUCCCGCUAGACGGCAGAGCUCAAGCUUUCUAGCAGGACAUACAAUUUAACCAAUUCACCAACUACAAUAUAUUUAACAACAUUUACAAUAAUCCCAACUAUUCUAACUGGCCAGCACCUCGAGUGCUUUUGAUCUAUUUGUACACCAGAGAUUCAAUAAGUUCUUCGCUGCCCAGACA